GUUGCCAGCAUUCAGUUGGGCACGUCUAAGGUGACUGCCGGCUAAAAGGUCGGAGGAAGGUGGGGAUGACGUCAAAUCAUCAUGCCCCUUAUGACCUGGGCUACACACGUGCUACAAUGGGCGGUACAAAGGGUCGCGAACCCGCAGGGGGAGCCAAUCCCAAAAAGCCGCUCUCAGUUCGGAUUGCAGGCUGCAACUCGCCUGCAUGAAGCCGGAAUCGCUAGUAAUCGCGGAUCAGCAUGCCGCGGUGAAUACGUUCCCGGGCCUU
rnacentral:rRNA from 1 species